rnacentral:rRNA from 1 species
AUUGAACGCUGGCGGCAUGCCUUACACAUGCAAGUCGAACGGCAGCACGGGAGCAAUCCUGGUGGCGAGUGGCGAACGGGUGAGUAAUGUAUCGGAACGUGCCCAGUCGUGGGGGAUAACGCAGCGAAAGCUGUGCUAAUACCGCAUACGAUCUAUGGAUGAAAGCGGGGGACCGUAAGGCCUCGCGCGAUUGGAGCGGCCGAUAUCAGAUUAGGUAGUUGGUGGGGUAAAGGCCCACCAAGCCGACGAUCUGUAGCUGGGCUGAGAGGACGACCAGCCGCACUGGAACUGAGACACGGUCCAGACUCCGACGGGAUGCAGCAGUGGGGAAUUUUGGACAAUGGGCGCAAGCCUGAUUCAGCAAUGCCGCGUGCAGGAUGAAGGCCUUCGGGUUGUAAACUGCUUUUGUACGGAACGAAACGCUCCUUUCUAAUACAAGGGGGUAAUGACGGUACCGUAAGAAUAAGCACCGGCUAACUACGUGCCAGCAGCCGCAGUAA